rnacentral:rRNA from 1 species
UACGUAGGGGGCUAGCGUUGUCCGGAAUCAUUGGGCGUAAAGAGCGUGUAGGCGGCCCGGUAAGUCCGCUGUGAAAGUCGGGGGGCUCAACCCUCGAAUGCCGGUGGAUACUGUCGGGCUAGAGUGCGGAAGAGGCGAGUGGAAUUCCUGGUGUAGCGGUGAAAUGCGCAGAUAUCAGGAGGAACACCGAUUGCGAAGGCAGCUCGCUGGGACGUUACUGACGCUGAGACGCGGAAAGCGUGGGGAGCAAACAGG